rnacentral:rRNA from 1 species
GACGAACGCUGGCGGCGUGCUUAACACAUGCAAGUCGAACGGAAAGGCCCUGCUUUUGUGGGGUGCUCGAGUGGCGAACGGGUGAGUAACACGUGAGUAACCUGCCCUUGACUUUGGGAUAACUUCAGGAAACUGGGGCUAAUACCGGAUAGGAGCUCCUGCUGCAUGGUGGGGGUUGGAAAGUUUCGGCGGUUGGGGAUGGACUCGCGGCUUAUCAGCUUGUUGGUGGGGUAGUGGCUUACCAAGGCUUUGACGGGUAGCCGGCCUGAGAGGGUGACCGGCCACAUUGGGACUGAGAGACGGCCCAGACGCGUACGGGAGGCAGCAGGGGGGAAUAUUGCACAAUGGGCGGAAGCCUGAUGCAGAAACGCCGCGUGCGGGAUGACGGCCUUCGGGUUGUAAACCGCUUUCGCCUGUGACGAAGCGGGAGUGACGGUAAUGGGUAAAGAAGCACCGGCUAACUACGUG